GGCUGUAGCUCAGUGGUAGAGCACUCACCUAUCACUUGUGAGACACUGGGUUUGAACCUCAGCACCA
rnacentral:tRNA from 1 species